rfam:Aedes albopictus isolate Foshan contig41142, whole genome shotgun sequence.
UGUUCUGUAUCUUAGUUGGUUAAAGCGCUGGACUAGCGAUAACGGAGUCGUGGGUUCGAAUCCCACCAAAACAA